rnacentral:lncRNA from 1 species
GGUGGAAGACGGAGGUACAGUCCAAUGACUUCGUCUUCAUUCUCUCAAGUCUGAUUGUCUCAACUAACUUCUGAAAACCCAAACCUCCUCAAAACCUUCAACCCAGUCUCUGCGACGGUCGACGGCAGCGGCACGACGACCUCGUCUCGUUCUCGCGACAUCACUCUGUCAGUCUCAAUCUCUUUUGGUGGCGGAGCAGAAGAAAGAAAAGAAAAAAAUAAGAAGGGGUCGGGAAAGAGAGGAGAAAGAAGAGGAUAUGGAUGGAAGAAGUCAAGGUAUCUGA